rnacentral:rRNA from 1 species
AACGAACGCUGGCGGCAGGCCUAACACAUGCAAGUCGAGCGGACCCUUCGGGGUUAGCGGCGGACGGGUGAGUAACGCGUGGGAAUAUGCCCUUCUCUACGGAAUAGUCCUGGGAAACUGGGGGUAAUACCGUAUACGCCCUUUGGGGGAAAGAUUUAUUGGGGGAGGAUUAGCCCGCGUUGGAUUAGGUUGUUGGUGGGGUAAUGGCCUACCAAGCCGACGAUCCAUAGCUGGUUUGAGAGGAUGAUCAGCCACACUGGGACUGAGACCCGGCCCAGACUCCUACGGGAGGCAGCAGUGGGGAAUCUUAGACAAUGGGGGCAACCCUGAUCUAGCCAUGCCGCGUGAGUGAUGAAGGCCUUAGGGUUGUAAAGCUCUUUCAGCUGGGAAGAUAAUGACGGUACCAGCAGAAGAAGCCCCGGCUAACUCCGUG